rnacentral:rRNA from 1 species
UGAGGAAUAUUGGUCAAUGGGCGCGAGCCUGAACCAGCCAAGUCGCGUGAGGGAAGACGGCCUUAUGGGUUGUAAACCUCUUUCAGAUGAGAGUAAAGGGUGUUACGAGUAGCACAUUGCAAGUAUCAUCAGAAGAAGCAUCGGCUAAUUCCGUGCCAGCAGCCGCGGUAAUACGGAAGAUGCGAGCGUUAUCCGGAUUUAUUGGGUUUAAAGGGUGCGUAGGCGGACCCGCAAGUCAGCGGUGAAAACGUGCGGCUUAACCGUACGCUUGCCAUUGAAACUGCGGGACUGGAGUUCGGAAGAGGUAUGCGGAAUGCGUGGUGUAGCGGUGAAAUGCAUAGAUAUCACGCAGAACCCCGAUUGCGAAGGCAGCAUACCAUAGCGAGACUGACGCUGAAGC